UAAUACGGAGGGGGCAAGCGUUAUUCGGAUUUACUGGGCGUAAAGCGCACGUAGGUGGCACUGUAAGUCAAAGGUGAAAGCUCUCGGCUCAACCGAGGAACUGCCUUUGAAACUGCUUUGCUUGAGUCCGGGAGGGGGGAGCGGAAUUCCCAGUGUAGCGGUGAAAUGCGUAGAUACUGGGAGGAACACCGGUGGCGAAGGCGGCUCCCUGGACCGGUACUGACACUGAGGUGCGAAAGCGUGGGUAGCAAACAGGAUUAGAUACCCUGGUAGUCCACGCCGUAAACGAUGGGCACUAGGUGCAGCGGGUGUCGACCCCUGCUGUGCCGAAGUUAACACAUUAAGUGUCCCGCCUGGGGAGUACGUUCGCAAGAAUG
rnacentral:rRNA from 1 species